GCUCCGUCGGCUUUUCUGACUGCGCUGGGAACCGCAGCGACAUCGGGAGUCCGUUGCUCCGGGUUUUCGCGGUGGCUCGAAGCUGAAACUCUGGGACCAGCAGAUGACAUAACAAUACGUCACUGGACCCCUGCAUGGCCGAGUCCUAGCCUGAUGGCUUGAAACACACAGAGUGUGUGUGGCAAGCGCACAUGCCCCAAGACAACAACCUCGUAAGAAAAAAAGAAAGAAAAAAAAAGUUGAAACUCAGAACAGCUUC